rnacentral:rRNA from 1 species
AGUUUGAUCAUGGCUCAGGAUGAAUGCUGGCGGCGUGCCUUAGGCAUGCAAGUCAAGGGGGUUUGUAGCAAUACAGACAACCGGCAGACGGGUGAGUAACGCGUAGGAAUCUACCUCUAGGCGGAACAUAGCUCAGCGAAAGCUGGGGUAAUUUUCCAUGGUUCUCGUAAGAGUAAAGGACUUAACGGUCCGCCAAGAGAUGAGCCUGCGUCCUAUCAGCUUGUUGGUGGGGUAAAUGCCUACCAAGGCGAUGACGGGUAGCUGGACUGAGAGGUCGGUCAGCCACAACUGCACUGAAACACGGGCAGUACACCUACGGGUGGCAGCAACUAGGAAUGGUUCGCAAUGGACGAAAGUCUGGCGACGCGACGCCGCGUGAAGGAUGAAGGCCUAUGGGUCGUAAACUUCUUUUGAUAAGCCGUUCACAGCUUAUAGAAUAAGCCUCUACUAACUACGUGCCAGAAGUCUCGGUAAUACGUAGGAGGCAAGCAUUAUCCGGAUUUAUUGGGCGUAAAGUGUGCGUAGGCGGUUUGAUAAGUCUAUUCUUAAAUACCGAAGCUCAACUUCGGGCCUGGAAUAGAUACUACCAAACUUGAGGAUUGUUAGGGAUGCUAGAACAGUUAGUGUAGCAGUGAAAUGCGUUGAUAUUAACUGGAAUACCAAAGGCGA